UACAGAGGUGGCAAGCGUUGUUCGGAAUUACUGGGCGUAAAGGGCGCGUAGGCGGUUCGAUAAGUCCUGUGUGAAAUCCCUCGGCUCAACUGAGGAACUGCACGGGAGACUGUCGGGCUUGAGUUCGGGAGAGGGAAGCGGAAUUCCGGGUGUAGCGGUGAAAUGCGUAGAUAUCCGGAGGAACACCGGUGGCGAAGGCGGCUUCCUGGACCGACACUGACGCUGAGGCGCGAAAGCUAGGGGAGCAAACGGG
rnacentral:rRNA from 1 species